AUUAACUAUAGUUUAGUUAUUUUAGUGAUAAAUUAUGUGAGAUGAUAACUUCAACUUGUCCUUCAAUGUAGCAGAUAAGCCUUUUCACCAUAUUACGUGUAAUUUAGAGAAGAACUCUACUGACCCCCACAAGCACUGUAUGGAUUCGCUGACCAAUGUCGGAUGAUACCUACUGGAACAUUAAUCUCUAUGUUCCAUUGACAAGGCUUCCAAAUUUAAGGCUCCAUUUUUAAAUCCUUCACGUAAUAAGGAGACUCUUCGGAGGUGGAUAAAUUGAUGGAAAUUCAUGAGGUGAAAUCGGAAGUUGGGACAGCUCAAUACUGGUCUGCUAAUGGAAUGUUCGUUUUUUUUCGGGGAAGAGGGCAAAUUGACCCCGAUAUACUGGUGGCAGAUAUUGAUGAUGGAACCUGCAAGAGGAGGCUACAGAAUAGGCCGUUAUUGAAUUCGGAAUCUAUUAAAUUUUUAUAGUUUUAGAUUCAUUUAUGGGAUGUUACUAACUUCAACCAUGUAUCGCCAUCAGAGAUGAUCUUUUCAUGAAGAAUCUGCCCACUAAACGUAAACGUGUUGGUACUAAGUAUCAGCAAUAUACAGGAUAGGUGUUUUCGCUUGUUUUCUCAUAUUCAUUCAUUUUUUAUGAUAUUAGUUAUCUGUUCUUUGAAUAUAAAUUCUCUGAUAGCAGAGCCAAGGAAAACAGAGCUGAUGAAGUACUUGAGAUUUCUAGAUUGGCCAGAUAUAAUUGUCUUGGUUGAUACGAGAACAAGUAUCAAAAGUUCUUAUGGAAAUCCUAACUUUUAUGAUAUAUUCGAAUCGCAUUCAAAUGAAAAUAGUUGAGGAGUACCCAUAUUAGCAAAAAAUUGUUUGAUUCCUGUGUUAAAAUAUUCUGACUCCAGCGGAGUCAGUGUUACAUUCAAAAAAAUUGUGUCUUGACUAAAAAAAUUAAUAUUUCUAAGGUUA
rnacentral:lncRNA from 1 species